GUAACAGUUUGGGUCUAGAGGCAGGGCAGGAUGGAUAUAGGUCUGUAACAGUUUGGAGGCAGGGCAGGAUGGAUAUAGGUCUGUAGCAGUUUGGGUCUAGAGGCAGGGCAGGAUGGAUAUAGGUCUGUAGCAGUUUGGGUCUAGAGGCAGGGCAGGAUGGAUAUAGGUCUGUAGCAGUUUGGGUCUAGAGGCAGGGCAGGAUGGAUAUAGGUCUGUAGCAGUUUGGGUCUAGAGGCAGGGCAGGAUGGAUAUAGGUCUGUAACAGUUUGGGUCUAGAGGCAGGGCAGGAUGGAUAUAGGUCUGUAACAGUUUGGGUCUAGAGGCAGGGCAGGAUGGAUAUAGGUCUGUAACAGUUUGGGUCUAGAGGCAGGGCAGGAUGGAUAUAGGUCUGUAGCAGU
ensembl:lncRNA